CUACGGGAUGCAGCAGUGAGGAAUAUUGCACAAUGCGGGGAACCCUGAUGCAGCAACGCCGCGUGGAGGAUGACGCAUUUCGGUGUGUAAACUCCUUUUAUAUGUCAAGAAAAUGACGGUAGCAUAUGAAUAAGCACCGGCUAACUCCGUGCCAGCAGCCGCGGUAAUACGGAGGGUGCAAGCGUUACUCGGAAUCACUGGGCGUAAAGGACGCGUAGGCGGGUUGGAAAGUCAGGUGUGAAAUCCUACAGCUUAACUGUAGAACUGCACUUGAAACUUCUAAUCUAGAGUAUGGGAGGGGGAGAUGGAAUUAGUGGUGUAGGGGUAAAAUCCGUAGAUAUCACUAGGAAUACCCAAAGCGAAGGCGAUCUCCUGGAACAUUACUGACGCUAAGGCGUGAAAGCGUGGGGAGCAAACAGGAUUAGAUACCCGUGUAGUC
rnacentral:rRNA from 1 species